rnacentral:rRNA from 1 species
AGUGAACGCUGGCGGUAGGCCUAACACAUGCAAGUCGAACGGCAGCACAGUAAGAGCUUGCUCUUACGGGUGGCGAGUGGCGGACGGGUGAGGAAUACAUCGGAAUCUACUUUUUCGUGGGGGAUAACGUAGGGAAACUUACGCUAAUACCGCAUACGACCUACGGGUGAAAGCAGGGGAUCUUCGGACCUUGCGCGAUUGAAUGAGCCGAUGUCGGAUUAGCUAGUUAGCGGGGUAAAGGCCCACCAAGGCGACGAUCCGUAGCUGGUCUGAGAGGAUGAUCAGCCACACUGGAACUGAGACACGGUCCAGACUCCGACGGGAGGCAGCAGUGGGGAAUAUUGGACAAUGGGCGCAAGCCUGAUCCAGCCAUACCGCGUGGGUGAAGAAGGCCUUCGGGUGGUAAAGCCCUUUUGUUGGGAAAGAAAAGCAGCAGGUUAAUACCCCGCUGUUCUGACGGUACCCAAAGAAUAAGCACCGGCUAACUUCGU